UCCUGCUUCAGUAAAAACUUCAGUCCAUUUCCUAGGAGAGCAGAUGAGGAUAAUUAAAGCACAAUGUUCUCUUAACUGGAGCAACUUCCUUCCUGCAGGGGGUGCCGGCUGAGCUGCUGCUGCCAGUGUGUCAGAUGUAGAAAGCAGAACCAGUGUGUCGCCUAAAUCAGCUUCUGGAGGAAAAGCCUGAGCUUCUUUUUCUACUUCAUCUGUUCAUUUUGAUGCUGAAGCUGAUUUGGCAGCUUUGACUGUGAGACAAAAACUGUUGAAGGAAGAAACAUCAAAAUAAAGAAGAUGAACAAAUAUUAAGAAAACUGGGUGAGGAGGGUGAGGCUUGUGUGGCCAAACUAUUAAAAUCAGAGCUUCAUAAGUGAAAAACAAUCCGCUGCAGAUGGACUGAACAAUUAUAUGGCAAAUUGAACAAUUAAAGGAUGUUCCCCCUUUUGGAUUAUGAGGCUGAAAGAUGUGGAAAAGGAAUUUGUUGGUCCAGCAUUGUGGCCCCAUUAACUUCUGUAUCCAAAAAAAUCAUGUGUCUUUCACUUGUGACCAAGAGAAAACAUAUAAUCGGUAUGAAAGCAUAGAAAAUAUAAAUCACAGAUCAG